CCUUUUCAAUUGGUGUGAGUGUGCUCAAACCAACCUCUUUUUCCAAUAAAAAGUCAUGUGCACUUUUCCUCACUCUGUAUUUCCUAAUUCCCCUCAAUAAGCUCUAACAGAACUAUCAUCUCUAUGUGAUCUCCCCAAAUGUCCCAUUGCCACUAAUUCCACCGGGAAGGUUGCUGCUAGCUGACACUAUUUCAAGGAUCCAGGUAAUUGAUUGAUGCUGACUGGUUUUACUCCAUCUUUGCAGAAGAUUGAACAAAAAGAAAUGAGAUUAAAUCACAUCUGAGAGGAAAUUCUAAGACAGAAGGGGAAAGCUUCUCGAGUGUAUAAAUCAGAUGUUACCAUGGUUUCUAUUAAGGCUGAUAGGCUGAUAGAGAUGAUCAUGUAACCCAGCUGAUCAGAUAUAAGCAGAGAUGACUGGGAGAAGCUUCUGGGAAGUGUUUCAGCCUGCAAGACAAUUACACAUCCUUGCUGUUUAUCAUGACUCCUGCAAGCAUAGCCCAUCUCAUGGAGCCCACUUGCCAAGAAAUGUCAGCAGAAAUGACAGCGCACUCACUUAA
rnacentral:lncRNA from 1 species